GUCAGCUCGUGUCGUGAGAUGUUGGGUUAAGUCCCGCAACGAGCGCAACCCUUGUCCUUAGUUGCCAGCAUUAGGUUGGGCACUCUAAGGAGACUGCCGGUGACAAACCGGAGGAAGGUGGGGACGACGUCAAGUCAUCAUGGCCCUUACGACCAGGGCUACACACGUGCUACAAUGGCAGGUACAGAGAGCAGCCACGUCGCAAGG
rnacentral:rRNA from 1 species